rnacentral:misc_RNA from 1 species
GUAGGUGAACCUGCGGAAGGAUCAUUACCAUGGAGGCUUCGGCCGACAUAGAGGUAGGACCCUUUGUUUAUGAGUACCCUUUGUUUCCUCGGCGGGCUCGCCUGCCACGAGGACAACCAAAAACCUUUGCAGUAGCAGUACCUUCAGUCAAAAAUAAAUAUUAAAACUUUCAACAACGGAUCUCUUGGUUCUGGCAUCGAUGAAGAACGCAGCAUCUGACUGACUUGGGAUGCAUGCAUCUCGUAUGCCG